rnacentral:rRNA from 1 species
GCAUGUGGUGGAUGCCUUGGCGAUCACAGGCGAUNAAGGACGUUGUAGCCUGCGUUAUGCUGCGGGGAGCWGGCAAACAAGCUUUGAUCCGCAGAUGUCCGAAUGGGGAAACCCGACUCCGAAAGGAGUAUCCCGCGCUGAAUACAUAGGCGCGAGGAAGCGAACCGAGCGAACUGAAACAUCUAAGUAGCUCGAGGAAAAGAAAAUCAACCGAGAUUCCGAAAGUAGUGRCGAGCGAAAUUGGAACAGCCUGUACGCUCAGUACCACCACGAUGUUUUCACAUACAGGGCUAUCACCUGCUAUGGCCGGACUUUCCAGACCGUUCUGCUGACUUCGUGGUCGA